GGAGAGGUGGCUGAGCGGUCGAAAGCGGCACGGUGCUAACGUGUUGUCCGGGUAAAACUGGACCGUGGGUUCGAAUCCCACCCUCUCCGCCA
rnacentral:tRNA from 1 species